rnacentral:rRNA from 1 species
AUUGAACGCUGGCGGCAUGCCUUACACAUGCAAGUCGAACGGCAGCACGGGAGCAAUCCUGGUGGCGAGUGGCGAACGGGUGAGUAAUAUAUCGGAACGUGCCCAGUCGUGGGGGAUAACGUAGCGAAAGCUACGCUAAUACCGCAUACGAUCUAUGGAUGAAAGCGGGGGAUCGCAAGACCUCGCGCGAUUGGAGCGGCCGAUAUCAGAUUAGGUAGUUGGUGAGGUAAAGGCUCACCAAGCCGACGAUCUGUAGCUGGUCUGAGAGGACGACCAGCCACACUGGGACUGAGACACGGCCCAGACUCCUACGGGAGGCAGCAGUGGGGAAUUUUGGACAAUGGGCGCUAGCCUGAUCCAGCAAUGCCGCGUGCAGGAUGAAGGCCUUCGGGUUGUAAACUGCUUUUGUACGGAACGAAACGGUGAGCUCUAAUACAGUUUGCUAAUGACGGUACCGUAAGAAUAAGCACCGGCUAACUACGUGCCAGCAGCCGCGGUAA